rnacentral:rRNA from 1 species
AUUGAACGCUGGCGGCAGGCCUAACACAUGCAAGUCGAGCGGAGCGGCGGACGGGUGAGUAAUGCCUAGGAAUCUGCCUGGUAGUGGGGGAUAACGUCCGGAAACGGGCGCUAAUACCGCAUACUAUCAGAUGAGCCUAGGCCGGAUUAGCUAGUUGGUGGGUUAACGGCCUACCACGUCGACGAUCCGUAACUGGUCUAAGAGGAUGAGCAGUCACACGGGAACUGAUACACGGUCGAGACUCUAACGGGAGACAGCAGUGGGUAAUAGUGGACAAUGGACAAAAGGCUAAUCCAGCCAUGGCGGGUGUGUGAAGCAGGUCUUCGGAUUGUAAAGCACAUUAAGUUGGAGGGCGUUACGAACAGAAUAAGCACCGGCUAACUACGUGCCAGCAGCCGCGGUAAUUC